GAAAUGGGCUUCACACAUUAUACCCACGUGGGGAACGAACCCUGGUCUUCGGCGUGACGAGCGAACGCUUUAACCACUAGGCUACCCCACCACCCGCAAAUCUGAGAAAACAUUAAAGAAUACGUUAUAUACU